rnacentral:rRNA from 1 species
GGGAAGGCGCUGCUUACCAUGCAAGUCGAACGAUGAUGCCCAGCUUGCUGGGCGGAUUAGUGGCGAACGGGUGAGUAACACGUGAGUAACCUGCCCUUGACUUCGGGAUAACUCCGGGAAACCGGGGCUAAUACCGGAUAUGAGCCGUCCUCGCAUGGGGGUGGUUGGAAAGUUUUUCGGUCAGGGAUGGGCUCGCGGCCUAUCAGCUUGUUGGUGGGGUGAUGGCCUACCAAGGCGACGACGGGUAGCCGGCCUGAGAGGGCGACCGGCCACACUGGGACUGAGACACGGCCCAGACUCCUACGGGAGGCAGCAGUGGGGAAUAUUGCACAAUGGGCGAAAGCCUGAUGCAGCGACGCCGCGUGAGGGAUGAAGGCCUUCGGGUUGUAAACCUCUUUCAGCAGGGAAGAAGCGCAAGUGACGGUACCUGCAGAAGAAGCGCCGGCUAACUACGUGCCAGCAGCCGCGGUAAUACGUAGGGCGCAAGCGUUGUCCGGAAUUAUUGGGCGUAAAGAGCUCGUAGGCGGUUUGUCGCGUCUGGUGUGAAAACUCGAGGCUCAACCUCGAGCUUGCAUCGGGUACGGGCAGACUAGAGUGCGGUAGGGGAGACUGGAAUUCCUGGUGUAGCGGUGGAAUGCGCAGAUAUCAGGAGGAACACCGAUGGCGAAGGCAGGUCUCUGGGCCGCAACUGACGCUGAGGAGCGAAAGCAUGGGGAGCGAACAGGAUUAGAUACCCUGGUAGUCCAUGCCGUAAACGUUGGGCACUAGGUGUGGGGCUCAUUCCACGAGUUCCGUGCCGCAGCAAACGCAUUAAGUGCCCCGCCUGGGGAGUACGGCCGCAAGGCUAAAACUCAAAGGAAUUGACGGGGGCCCGCACAAGCGGCGGAGCAUGCGGAUUAAUUCGAUGCAACGCGAAGAACCUUACCAAGGCUUGACAUGCACGAGAAGCCACCAAAAGAUGGUGGUCUCUUUGGACACUCGUGCACAGGUGGUGCAGGGUUGUCGUCACCUCCGGUCUUGAAAU